CGCUUCUAACGUAAAAUGUAAGUUAAGGAUUUAGUUUUUGUUUUUUACAAUCUUUAGUAAUGCCAACGUUGUAUUUAGGCGCUAUAUCUUAUUAGUUCGUUGAGACCCGUUGAGUUUAACUUCACGUUGCUGUUUUGCAUGUCUUCACACAACGACACAAUUAUUUGCUUCCAGUUUCGAUUUAAUUGGUAUUGGUGGAGAUAAUGUCAAUAUAUGUGACUGUGCCCUUAUAUUUCAGUGUUUUAUUAGACUAAUUUAUUGUGGGCGCAAGAAAUUUCUGGCGCGAAUCGCGUGCGGGAGAAGCAAACGUCAUCAACACACGGUUUACUUCAUCCGGAGAAAGAUUAACGACCCUGAGGAGUCGCGCAGGAGUUGGACAAGGCCAGGGAUGAAGACUUGAUUCAGAAACACCGCCGCGAUCCCUUUGUAGUCUUUUAAGAGGUUGGUGGUGAAUAUCGUGCUGAGGUGUUCAUGUCCUCGUUUUUAAUUCAACAUUUGUGCCAAGCACUUGAUUUGAUAGCUUUAGACGUAAUAAGGAAUAUGUUGAAGAAAUAAAAAGGUAUUAUGUCAUCUUUUACAACCUCAUAGUCAUUUAAAGUCUUUGUGCAAUACUUGUGCUUUUUAAAAUGCAUUUCACACCUGAGUCCUCAAGUGAACUGAAUAAAGGGUCAAAACGUGACAAACUGUA